rnacentral:rRNA from 1 species
AAGACCUUGUGCUUUUGGAGCGGCCGAUGCCUGAUUAGCUUGUUGGUAAGGUAAAAGCUUACCAAGGCUUCGAUCAGUAGCUGGUCUGAGAGGACGACCAGCCACACUGGGACUGAGACACGGCCCAGACUCCUACGGGAGGCAGCAGUGGGGAAUUUUGGACAAUGGGGGCAACCCUGAUCCAGCCAUGCCGCGUGAGUGAAGAAGGCCUUCGGGUUGUAAAGCUCUUUCAGCCGGAACGAAACGGUUACGGAUAAUGCCCGUGACUACUGACGGUACCGGAAGAAGAAGCACCGGCUAACUACGUGCCAGCAGCCGCGGUAAUACGUAGGGUGCAAGCGUUAAUCGGAAUUACUGGGCGUAAAGCGUGCGCAGGUGGUUUUGUAAGUCAGAUGUGAAAGCCCCGGGCUCAACCUGGGAACU